rnacentral:rRNA from 1 species
GGAGCUUGCUCUUCUUGGAUGAGUUGCGAACGGGUGAGUAACGCGUAGGUAACCUGCCUUGUAGCGGGGGAUAACUAUUGGAAACGAUAGCUAAUACCGCAUAACAAUGGAUGACACAUGUCAUUUAUUUGAAAGGGGCAAUUGCUCCACUACAAGAUGGACCUGCGUUGUAUUAGCUAGUAGGUGAGGUAAUGGCUCACCUAGGCGACGAUACAUAGCCGACCUGAGAGGGUGAUCGGCCACACUGGGACUGAGACACGGCCCAGACUCCUACGGGAGGCAGCAGUAGGGAAUCUUCGGCAAUGGGGGCAACCCUGACCGAGCAACGCCGCGUGAGUGAAGAAGGUUUUCGGAUCGUAAAGCUCUGUUGUAAGUCAAGAACGGGUGUGAGAGUGGAAAGUUCACACUGUGACGGUAGCUUACCAGAAAGGGACGGCUAACUACGUGCCAGCAGCCGCGGUAAUACGUAGGUCCCGAGCGUUGUCCGGAUUUAUUGGGCGUAAAGCGAGCGCAGGCGGUUUGAUAAGUCUGAAGUUAAAGGCUGUGGCUCAACCACAGUUCGCUUUGGAAACUGUCAAACUUGAGUGCAGAAGGGGAGAGUGGAAUUCCAUGUGUAGCGGUGAAAUGCGUAGAUAUAUGGAGGAACACCGGUGGCGAAAGCGGCUCUCUGGUCUGUAACUGACGCUGAGGCUCGAAAGCGUGGGGAGCGAACAGGAUUAGAUACCCUGGUAGUCCACGCCGUAAACGAUGAGUGCUAGGUGUUGGAUCCUUUCCG